UGAGAAACGCAUACUCGGUGAACAUAUC
rnacentral:sRNA from 1 species